GUAAGUUAUUGAAUGUCUCCCAUUUACUGUCCCUCAGAGGGUCUGCUAAUAUGAACUGAAAGUAGACAAAGUAACAGGAGAAAAGUCAUGCAAAUGUGUUUAACUCACUAGGGGAAAAUCACAGGACAGUGGGUGCCCCGCAUAAUCAAGUAGGGCUAAAUACCUUUCUUCAUACGGCAGAGGAAGAUGGGGAGCGUAGGUAAUUUCGAGGGAUAGUAAAUGAUUUUAGGGAAGAUGAAUAGACUCAGGAGGCAGAAAUUAGCUUGUAAAUGAUUCUCUGGAAAUUUGAAUGAGCCCCAGAGAGAGAUAAUAUCUUGUAAAUGAUUCUCUUUGGAAUUGGAAUGAGCUGGAUGAGCUAGAGGGACUGAAAUGAUUCUCUUUGGAAUUGGAAUGAGCCAGAAGAACAGACGAUAUGUUGUGGCAGAGUCCAUGCAGCAGGCAGUCAGCGGUUCGUUAUUAAGACAGAAGAUGGGACAGAGUGUUCUUGGCUGGGCUGAUCCCAGAAUCCCAGGCUCCUUUUCAGGACUGCUCACCAUGUGGUAAAAGCAUUUAUGAAGUGAAAACACACACUGGCUCAGGAAUGGAGAAAUAACCAGGCGUCAUCCCCUGACACCCAACAAGUGAGCAUAAGACAAGUGCAUGGAUCAAUCUCGCUGAAGGUUGGGGAAAGUUUCUUGAAUAAAAUAUUGACAAAUCUGACUCAGGGUGUUAAAUCAGAGUGAUUACAGGAAUAUAAUGGUAGCUAAACCUGAGAAGAAGCUUGCUUGCAGUUUAUUGUAUUAU